rnacentral:rRNA from 1 species
CCUACGGGGGGCUGCAGUGGGGAAUAUUGCGCAAUGGGGGGAACCCUGACGCAGCCAUGCCGCGUGAAUGAAGAAGGCCUUCGGGUUGUAAAGUUCUUUCGGUAUUGAGGAAGGUUGAUGUGUUAAUAGUACAUCAAAUUGACGUUAAAUACAGAAGAAGCACCGGCUAACUCCGUGCCAGCAGCCGCGGUAAUACGGAGGGUGCGAGCGUUAAUCGGAAUAACUGGGCGUAAAGGGCACGCAGGCGGUUAUUUAAGUGAGGUGUGAAAGCCCCGGGCUUAACCUGGGAAUUGCAUUUCAGACUGGGUAACUAGAGUACUUUAGGGAGGGGUAGAAUUCCACGUGUAGCGGUGAAAUGCGUAGAUAUUAGGAAGAACACCGGUGGCGAAGGCGGCCUGCUGG